UACGUAGGGGGCAAGCGUUGUCCGGAUUUAUUGGGCGUAAAGAGCGUGUAGGCGGCCGCACAGGUCCGUUGUGAAAACUGGAGGCUCAACCUUCAGACGUCGAUGGAAACCGUGCGGCUAGAGUCCGGAAGAGGAGAGUGGAAUUCCUGGUGUAGCGGUGAAAUGCGCAGAUAUCAGGAGGAACACCAGUGGUGUAGACGGCUUACUGGACCAUGACUGACGCUGAGGCACGAAAGCGUGGGUAGCAAACAGG
rnacentral:rRNA from 1 species